rfam:Schistosoma mansoni strain Puerto Rico chromosome 2, complete genome
ACACUGCUGAGGCGUCCCACAAUAGAACGAAACGGCCUUCCAGUAC